GUAGGUGAACCUGCGGAAGGAUCAUUAUUGAAUAUUCUUGAUGAGUUGUAGCUGGCUCUCCGGGGCAUGUGCACGCUUGUCUUGACUUUAUUCAUCCACCUGUGCACCUUUUGUAGUCUUGGGGGUUGAAAGCAGUCGACUAUCGGAUGGCUACGGCUUUUCCGGAUGUGAGGAAUGCUGAGUGCAAGGGCGCAUACAGCUCUUCUCUAAUGACUUGCAUACCCUCGAGUACUAUGUAUUCAUAUACCAUGUAGUAUGUUGCAGAAUGUGAUCAAUGGGUCUAUGUACCUAUAACAAUCAUAUACAACUUUCAGCAACGGAUCUCUUGGCUCUC
rnacentral:misc_RNA from 1 species